CCUAAUCGCACACAUUGGCGAGAGCAUCCCCUUAACCCACCACCCACUACUACUGAGAGCUCUUUCUAGAUACUGAGAGCUCUUUCUAGAUUCUAUGGGUGGUGGAGCAUGGCCGUUCUUAGUUGGAGGAGCGAUUUGUCUGGUUAAUUCCGUUAACGAACGAGACCUCAGCCUGCUAACUAGCUAUGCGGAGGUAUCCCUUCGUGGCCAGCUUCUUAGAGGGACUACGGCCUUUUAGGCCGCGGAAGUUUGAGGCAAUAACAGGUCUGUGAUGCCUUUAGAUGUUCUGGGCCG
rnacentral:ncRNA from 1 species